UGCAGUCGAACGGCAGCACGGGAGCAAUCCUGGUGGCGAGUGGCGAACGGGUGAGUAAUAUAUCGGAACGUGCCCAGUCGUGGGGGAUAACGUAGCGAAAGCUACGCUAAUACCGCAUACGAUCUAUGGAUGAAAGCGGGGGAUCGCAAGACCUCGCGCGAUUGGAGCGGCCGAUAUCAGAUUAGGUAGUUGGUGGGGUAAAGGCUCACCAAGCCGACGAUCUGUAGCUGGUCUGAGAGGACGACCAGCCACACUGGAACUGAGACACGGCCCAGACUCCUACGGGAGGCAGCAGUGGGGAAUUUUGGACAAUGGGCGCAAGCCUGAUCCAGCAAUGCCGCGUGCAGGAUGAAGGCCUUCGGGUUGUAAACUGCUUUUGUACGGAGCGAAAAGGCUCUCUCUAAUACAGGGGGCUCAUGACGGUACCGUAAGAAUAAGCACCGGCUAACUACGUGCCAGCAGCCGCGGUAAUACGUAGGGUGCAAGCGUUAAUCGGAAUUACUGGGCGUAAAGCGUGCGCAGGCGGUUGUGCAAGACCGAUGUGAAAUCCCCGAGCUUAACUUGGGAAUUGCAUUGGUGACUGCACGGCUAGAGUGUGUCAGAGGGGGGUAGAAUUCCACGUGUAGCAGUGAAAUGCGUAGAGAUGUGGAGGAAUACCGAUGGCGAAGGCAGCCCCCUGGGAUAACACUGACGCUCAUGCACGAAAGCGUGGGGAGCAAACAGGAUUAGAUACCCUGGUAGUCCACGCCCUAAACGAUGUCAACUAGUUGUUGGGGAUUCAUUCCCUUAGUAACGUAGCUAACGCGUGAAGUUGACCGCCUGGGGAGUACGGUCGCAAGAUUAAAACUCAAAGGAAUUGACGG
rnacentral:rRNA from 1 species